rnacentral:rRNA from 1 species
GAUGAACGCUGGCGGCGUGCCUAAUACAUGCAAGUCGAGCGAACAGACGAGGAGCUUGCUCCUCUGACGUUAGCGGCGGACGGGUGAGUAACACGUGGAUAACCUACCUAUAAGACUGGGAUAACUUCGGGAAACCGGAGCUAAUACCAGAUAAUAUAUUGAACCGCAUGGUUCAAUAGUGAAAGACGGUUUUGCUGUCACUUAUAGAUGGAUCCGCGCCGCAUUAGCUAGUUGGUAAGGUAACGGCUUACCAAGGCGACGAUGCGUAGCCGACCUGAGAGGGUGAUCGGCCACACUGGAACUGAGACACGGUCCAGACUCCUACGGGAGGCAGCAGUAGGGAAUCUUCCGCAAUGGGCGAAAGCCUGACGGAGCAACGCCGCGUGAGUGAUGAAGGUCUUCGGAUCGUAAAACUCUGUUAUUAGGGAAGAACAAAUGUGUAAGUAACUAUGCACGUCUUGACGGUACCUAAUCAGAAAGCCACGGCUAACUACGU